CAGCAGAAGUGGAUCUGGGAGGGUUUUUGGAGCACAGUUUGGAGCACCAACGACGCAUAUGAACAGCCUCCAGAGCAGUGGAUGGUGAUGGCUCACUGGGUGGUUACCGGUGGCUCACUGGUGGACCGUCGAGGCUGUUGAAUGAGGUGGUGUCGCUGUCCGAGGUGCUGAAAAAGCCGCCGGUCGCUGUCCACCUUUUUUUUUUUCCAUUCCUCAGUCGAGACGAUACGCAUGAACUGACGUGAAUGUCGAGCAGCAGCAGCAACAGCGACGGCGCACCAGUUCGUCGGUUAACGCAGCAGCAGCAGCAGCAGCAGCAGAGUAAAUGGGACCGCACGUCGUCCAAGGAGCGGUAGAAAGAUGGAGAGAUUUCUGUGCCUGCUGCUGCUCGUCCUCGGCUGUCUCUGCGUCUCUCGAGUCACGGCGGAUAGCUUGUCGCCUCCCGUCAAUGUGACCAUCAAAGCGGUGAAAGCAACCUCUGCUGUGGUGACAUGGGACAUCCCCGAGGGAGACCCCGUUAUUGGCUUUGCCAUCACACAGCAGAAGAAAGACGUGCGCAUGCUGCGAUUCAUCCAGGAAGUCAACACCACCACGCGCUCCUGUGCAUUAUGGGACUUGGAGGAAGAGACAGACUACAUUGUGCAUGUCCAGUCCAUCAGCAUGUCUGGGAUGAGCCCUCUGAGCGAGCCGCUGCGCUUCCGAACUCCGAAGGAGGCCGAGACUCAGGCCUCUAAGAGUAAAGACGAAGUGACGAUGGAAGAAGUGGGCCAGUCCACCCAGCUGAGGGCGGGGGAGCUCAUCAUCAUCGUGGUGGUUCUUAUCAUGUGGGCAGGUGUGAUCGCUCUCUUCUGUCGCCAGUACGACAUAAUCAAAGACAACGAGCCCAACAACAACAAGGACAAAGCCAAAAACUCCUCCGAGUGCAGCACUCCUGAACAUCCGACGGGGGGGCUGUUGCGCAGUAAGGUAUAACCAACCCACCCCCUCCUCCCCCCCCGCCCCACUGGGUGCCUCCCCCCCACAGCGGCGCCGGGCAGUUCCCCAAGAACAACAACAACAACAAUAGGAUGCCAUCUGUCAACAUCAUCGAGGUGUGACUGCCAGGACGUCUUCUCUUUAUCCAAAAGUCUUUGUGUUCUCACAAACAAGCGGGGCCCCUUUUUAAGCCCAUCUGCUUGUCAGGAUGAGGCCGGGACUCUGGGCCCCUUGGCGCCACUUACUCUCCUUUGGCACGGGGCCCGCCGCUGAAGCUGCGUGACUACCGGGGAGGUCAGGCCACGGACCUGGCCCGGAGCUGGUCUGAGUGUAGCGGAGUGACUGUGGCGAGAGUUCAGAGGCUGCACCGUGCUCAAUAACUACUGUAACCAUGGGGGCGGCAGAGAUUAAGGCCAAAUGGCUCCGGCGGUGGAGAGACUGCAGAUAAACCAACCCCAGGGACCAACGCCAAUGAAUGAAGCCAGAGACCUUUUCAUUCUCUCUCUCUCUCUCUGUGUCACCUCUUUCUCCUCACCGUCUUUCAGUGCAUUAUCAACAACCAACCACAGACAUUUCCCCAUUACUGGGUGUCUCUGAGAUGCAUCCACUUUGUCGAAAUCGUCGCUCGUACUUUUAAUCUUCUUCAUAAUAUUCUGUUUUCUAAGGUAAACACUGUAGAUCAUUCACGCAUACUACUGUAGUUUUACUUUUAACAAGGUGCCACCAGAGCAGUCCUGUGGGAAAUGUUUUUAUUCUGGCGAGCUCAUUUUUCCCCCCUCAGGGAAUUCAGACUCCACCUGGCUAAUUUCUAAGAUGUGCUGCGAUGACGCCAGAGCAGCUUUAGAGGGAUCACUCGGGCUCACCACCGGAGCCGAAUCACCCAGUCUUGUCAGAUAAGACAUAUUGAAAGGCAUCUGAACACAUGUAUACAGUAUUAUAAGUGCGUAACAGGCCAGGUGUGGUGUCACCUUGGUCACAUUUGCUUUCAUCCUUUCUUUCUUUUAUUAUAGAUUCCUGAAAUGUUACAUUCCACGUACCAGGAUGAGCCCUUUAGUAUUCCCUCGUGUCUUUCUCUUUGCGGAUGAUGAAUUUCAAAGCAUAAUGGGAGUGCAUUCAUCUAAUUAAUGGAUUUUAAAAAGGGGCUGAACUCUAUGGAUGUCUGUGGAGAAGUGUCCUCUGUAGAGACACUGAAGAGAUCCCUUAAAUCAGCAAUAACGGCCUUCGGUGACGCACGGAAGCAAGGACUCGAACUCUGUAGCCCGUUCGUCCAAAACUCGCCCUCCCAGCAUGCAACGUUCAGACAGAAUGAACAAACUGCACAUCGAAUUACGAGGGAAUUAACCCUGAGGUGAUCCCUCUCCUGAACUUUCAGAGAAAAGUCUUUCAGCGCUGUUGUAAAAACUUCUGACGUAGAGCAUGGAAAACAUUUUAUGGGCCCAACAUCCAACCCAGAGACUUCCUUAUGACAUCCUGAACAGAUGUCACUAAGACAGAAGGGCUUCUAUCGAGACUUUUUUUUCCACAAAUCAAAGUCAAUAUUUGCGUUGAAACUCCACGUUGUGGAGACUAAGAAUAGGGGAUCAACUGUUGCCAUACGGUACUGUGCACUGUAUACCAUAAAGGAACUGGUUGUAAGAAAGCAAAUGGUGUAUUUGAGGGCUGAUUCAGUAGUACUGCCUUAAAAAUAAUUGUAUCUUAUGAUUUAUCUAAUGAGACGGAAGGCCCUGUAUGUUACAUUUGUGUCAUAUUCAUUAAGCUUUCACAUAAUAUUUAAAUGUGUGUGCAAAGUAAACAUUACAGAUGGCAUGUAGACGAGCGGUUUGAAAAUCUGGAAGAAAUGGUUGGCAUUGAACGUGUAAAUACAUUUUAUAUUUCAUUUUUGUUUGGUGGCGUCAGCUUAGAGAGCCUCUAAUGAAAUAUGACUAAUGUGGAAAAUGUAUAUGUAAAAGGGUACUGCUACUGGUGAAAAUGUAGGUGAUUUCUUUGGUUAAUACACUGCUGUUAAAAGUCUUUUUCAUAGCA